GGCGAAUCAACUCUGUACAAUUGAAAUGGAUGAGACAUUGUACAGAGG
rfam:Lachnospiraceae bacterium 3_1_57FAA_CT1 genomic scaffold acsNT-supercont1.2, whole genome shotgun sequence.